rnacentral:rRNA from 1 species
CACCGCGGUCAUACGAUUGACCCAAGCUAAUAGGCAUACGGCGUAAGGAGUGUUAAAGAGUUAUACAAAAUAAAGUCAAGCCUUGACUAAACCGUAAAAAGCCAUAGUUAAAAUUAAGCUAAACCACGAAAGUGACUUUAAUACAAUCUACUGCACGACAACUAAGACC